UUAUAACCUGAGACAUUACCUGGUUAUAACCUGGUUAUAAACUGAGACAUUACCUGGUUAUAACCUGGUUAUAACCUGGUUAUAAACUGAGACAUUAC